rnacentral:pre_miRNA from 1 species
UAGGUACUCCCUCCGUCCGAAAAUACUUGUCAUUAAAAUGGACAAAAAGGGAUGUAUCUAGAACUAAAAUACAUCUAGAUACAUCUCCUUUUAUUCAUUUUGAUGACAAGUAUUUCCGGGCGGAGGGAGUAUCAU